rnacentral:rRNA from 1 species
CUACGGGUCGCAGCAGUGGGGAAUAUUGCACAAUGGAGGAAACUCUGAUGCAGCAACGCCGCGUGGAGGAUGACACUUUUCGGAGCGUAAACCCCUUUUAUAUAGGAAGAAGAUGACGGUACUAUAUGAAUAAGCGCCGGCUAACUCCGUGCCAGCAGCCGCGGUAAUACGGAGGGCGCAAGCGUUACUCGGAAUCACUGGGCGUAAAGAGCGUGUAGGCGGAUUAAAAAGUCAGAAGUGAAAUCCUAUAGCUUAACUAUAGAACUGCUUCUGAAACUCUUAAUCUAGAAUAUGGGAGAGGUAGGUGGAAUUUCUGGUGUAGGGGUAAAAUCCGUAGAGAUCAGAAGGAAUACCGAUUGCGAAGGCGAUCUACUAGAACAUUAUUGACGCUGAGACGCGAAAGCGUGGGGAGCAAACAGGAUUAGAUACCCGAGUAGUC